rnacentral:rRNA from 1 species
GCAAGAUUAAAACUCAAAGGAAUAGACGGGGACCCGCACAAGUGGUGGAGCAUGUGGUUUAAUUCGAAGAUACGCGAAGAACCUUACCUAGCCUUGACAUAUUUUAGAACUCAGCAGAGAUGCAGAGGUGCCUUCGGGAGCUAAUUUACAGGUGCUGCACGGCUGUCGUCAGCUCGUGUCGUGAGAUGUUGGGUUAAGUCCCGCAACGAGCGCAACCCUCGUCACUAGUUACUAACGGUUCGGCCGAGGACUCUAGUGAGACUGCCUUCGUAAGGAGGAGGAAGGUGAGGACGACGUCAAGUCAUCAUGGCCCUUACGGCUAGGGCAACACAUGUGCUACAAUGGCCAGGACAGUGAGACGCAAUACCGCGAGGUGGAGCAAAUCUAUAAACCUGGUCUCAGUUCGGAUUGUUCUCUGCAACUCGAGAACAUGAAGCUGGAAUCACUAGUAAUCGUAGAUCAGCUAUGCUACGGUGAAUACGUUCCCGGGUCUUGUACUCACCGCCCGUCACACCAUGGGAGUUGAUUUCACCCGAAGCGGGGAAGCUAAACUGGCUACCCUCCACGGUGGAAUUAGCGACUGGGGUGAAGUCGUAACAAGGUA